rnacentral:rRNA from 1 species
UACGUAGGGGGCAAGCGUUGUCCGGAUUCAUUGGCGUAAAGAGCGUGUAGGCGGCCAGGUAGGUCGGUUGUGAAAACUGGAGGCUCAACCUUCAGAGGUCGACCGAAACCAUCUGGCUAGAGUCCGGGAGAGGAGAGUGGAAUUCCUGGUGUAGCGGUGAAAUGCGCAGAUAUCAGGAAGAACACCCGUGGCGAAGGCGGUUCUCUGGGCAUUACCUGACGCUGAGGAGCGAAAGUGUGGGGAGCGAACAGG